GACGAACGCUGGCGGCGUGCUUAACACAUGCAAGUCGAGCGGUAAGGCCUCUUCGGGGGUACACGAGCGGCGAACGGGUGAGUAACACGUGGGUGACCUGCCCUCAGCUCUGGGAUAAGCCUGGGAAACUGGGUCUAAUACCGGAUAUGACCUUUCCUCGCAUGGGGUUUGGUGGAAAGUUUUUUCGGCUGGGGAUGGGCCCGCGGCCUAUCAGCUUGUUGGUGGGGUGAUGGCCUACCAAGGCGACGACGGGUAGCCGGCCUGAGAGGGCGACCGGCCACACUGGGACUGAGACACGGCCCAGACUCCUACGGGAGGCAGCAGUGGGGAAUAUUGCGCAAUGGGCGGAAGCCUGACGCAGCGACGCCGCGUGGGGGAUGACGGCCUUCGGGUUGUAAACCUCUUUCGACCCCGACGAAUUUCGACGGUAGGGGUAGAAGAAGCACCGGCCAACUACGUG
rnacentral:rRNA from 1 species